rnacentral:lncRNA from 1 species
ACGCUAAUCUCUCGGGAACCUUCCAUUCACCACAGGACCAAGCAGAGCCCUCGUCCCGGGGUUCGAACGGGAGUUCAAGGUCCUGCUCCAGAUGAGAGAGCCCAACUCCGAGGGCAAGGUUGAGAUCCUCAUCAUGGGGAGGCGCCGGUACCGGAAGCGUGCCAAAAGGCUGAUUCGCAUCUUGGCGGCGAAGCCCCGAGGGAAACGCUAUGGAGAAGCUGGGAAGGAACCGCCUGGAUCCCACUUCCUGAGAUAAAACCGAGUCUAGGACGUCCUGUACUCAGUGAUUCUCAG